rnacentral:lncRNA from 1 species
GGGUCAAGUGAGAUACCUAUCUAAUGAAUCACAAAAACAGAGUAGGUGUGUUCGAAUAGCUAUUUUUUUCUAAAAGUACUUGACGACAGUCUUUUAAUUUGGAUGAUGAAAAUGUGUGUGUGAUAACUAGGGUUUAUAAUCUUCAACCACUGAAAAUGUUUAGUCUGCCCUUCCACGAAAUAUUUAAUUAGAAUUUUUUUAAAUGCUUAAGAAUUUUCAAAAAUUCCAUCUGACAUCCAAACAGACAAUAUUUUUAAGUUGAAUCAAUGCAGACAAGAUCAUUAACUAAUGCUCAUUAGCUAGUAGAUACAUUUGUCUUUUAAAAUAUAACUGACAUAUAACGAUCGAUCGUAAUGGUGCUAUGUGGAUAAAUUUAUCAGUUUUCAAGAGCAAAAUUGGCAGAGCGUCAUCCCUACAAUGGCUUCCAUUUCUACGAUUGUGAGCAUGAACUGGCGUAAUGGGGAGAUAAUUUUGAAGAAGUAGAAUCCUGACUGUAUGAAUAACAUUUCUGUAUAUAUAUACAAAUUGACAACGUUCCGCCUUGUGAUACGCUUUUCGUACAAUACUAUUUUAAGGAUCUACUUUGCUGGAGCUCACCUUCACUAGUUUAUUCGAAUGAUAUUUUCAAAAUAUUUCUGUUAUUUUAUUUGCACGACAAAAUGAAAGACGAUAUAAUAUCAAUGGGUGUACAUGCAAUUUUUUGGCAUUUUUAAAAAUGUGUAUUUAUUAUAUGUCAUUAAAAGGAAUCCCAGAAACAAAAAAAAAUCUUUUGUCGAGCAGUUGAAGGCUGUGCACCGCAUUUUUUUUCAUUAUGCUUGUAAGGUGUCAUUUUAUCGCGCUUUUGUAGCAUGUUUUCCCUUCCUGUUCAUUUGCAUGUCUUUUGGCAAAUUCAUUUUAAAAAUUGAACCCUCUACUGUAAAAAAGAUACAUAUGGUAAUCUUUGCAUUUGAAGCACGUCUUAUUUUCUUCUACCUAUAGGAUAAAACUUUCAUAUUAAUAUGUGUAUACCAACACGAUUAAUCAUUUGAUACAAAAAGAUAGUUAUAUAAAUACGGAUAUUUCUUAGAAUUGAGGGUCAUCCUUUAAAAGUUACGGUCAUCAUUUACAAAUUACGGUCAUCUUAAAAGCAGUUACGGUCAGCCUUGUUAUGAAUCGCUGAUUCUGUUACGGUCAUCUCGAUUGUGAUUUACGGUCAUCUUGGCGAUUUUUUCAAAUCGAAUUUCCCGUUUCAUGCACAUUUCUCAGAAGUAAUUAGUGAUUUCCGAGUGAUUCUUUUAUAAAUUUACAUCGUUUCAAUGUAUGAUUUGUAAAGAAAAUGAUAUAGAAACACUUU